AAUACUCUCAACUUCAAUCUUUUUGUUUGAAGUUGGAUUUGGGCGUUGUUGUGGAUCAUCAUGACUCGUCCUAAAUGCAUUAGCGAUCUGGCUUGAUCACACACAAUGUGAUAAGAAAAAGCAUUGUUACAAUCGAGUGAAGACUGCUUCUAACUGUCGCAAGACAAACAUCUUUAUGUC
rnacentral:misc_RNA from 1 species